AUAGGUAAUAGCUAUUGGCUUGUAUUUUUUUUUUUUUUUUAAUUAUUAUGAAUACAGUGAGUUGCUCCAGCGGAAAAGCAGCUUUGCAGAAAAGGGCUUGGAGGUUAUGGAGGACACUAAUUGGAACAUGAGUGAAGAAUAUUUGCUUACAAUAAAGAAGGCUAGUGGUAUUCUGGACUGCAUUAAGAAAAGCAUUGACAGCAGGCUAAGGGAGGUGACCCUUCCUGUCUGCUCAGAUCUGGUGAGGCGACACCUGGACGAACUCUGUCCAGUGCCAGACUCUUCAGUUCAAGAGAGUCAUGCAAAUACUGAAAAAGCCCAGUGAAGGAUCAGGAAGAUAAAGUACUGGAAGACCUCUCCUAUGAGGGAAGGCUGAAGAAGUGGAGAUUGUUCAGCCUGGAGAAGAGAAGGCUCAGGGGGGAGCUCAUCAAUGUAUAUAAACACUUGAAGGGAGGGUGCAAAGACAACAGAACCAGGCUCCUUCCAGUGGUGCGCAGAGACAGGACCAGACAUCAUGAGCACAUGCUGAAACACAGAAAAUUCCGUCUGACUAUCAGAAAACUCUUUCCCUGUGAGAGUGACCGAGCACUGGCACAGGUUGUCCAGGGAGGUGAUGGAUUUGCCAUUGCUGGAAAUGUUCAAGAACUGUCUGGACAUGACCUCAGACAACUGACUCUAGCUGGCCCUGCUUGAGCUGGUGGUUUGGACCAGAUGACCUCCAGAGAACUCUUCCAACCUCAAACACUCUGUGAUGCUGUGUGUGUACAUGUUUUACAUGAAUCUCACAUUAAAAUCAGUCAAUGAAUUUUCCAAUGGCUCAUAGUGGCCUAAAGAAAACCUCUCAAGGACUGUUUAAGUGGCCAAAAAUGGUGUGAUUUGCCUUGGAAGAGCAAGGUACUGUUAUUAACCUACUUUCUUUCUCUGAACAUAACUAACUAGUAUUUCUGCAUUUGUAACACAAUUCCUCUAAAUGGGUAGUUGUUUCUGCCAAGAAUCAAGCCUUUGAUGUAAAAAUCUUUAGCCUUUGGAAAUAUGGCUUUGGUUCUGAUAUAAAUUGCAACUGUAAGAUGCAGGUAAAUGAUGAAACCAAGGUGUCUUGCCAUAACCUGAUUUUGUUUGAUAUUACUGUGAGCUGCUUAGGGUGAUGUCUCUUAUUUGCACCAAGCUUAGGAAAGAUAUAUUAAUUUUACUGUGGUGAAUUUCAGGAAGUUUAUCGAAGUUUUUAAAAGUUGCAGUCCUAGAAUUGUUUACCUGCUGUUUAAAAAGAGAUAAUUUCAUAGUCUUGGUGAAUGUUAUAUUUGUCUUCAUCUUAAACAGAACCCUUUGGCUCCUUGUGAACCGACCUGUCAUAGUUUCUCUUGUGAGGAAAUCAUUAGCAGAGCAGAGAAAUAUCAUUAUGGGUCUAUCAUUGCAUCUGACUCAGCAAGGUGGGUGAGUCUGACAGAGAUGGGAUGGAUAUGUGCACAGUUCUGUUUGGGAACAGGUACCUUACAAGCAGGGACGUGAUCAGUGAGUCCUUUUUUCCAAACACAGAACCUAACUGCCACCUCGUGCUGAGGUGGUUACUUCAGUAGCCCAGUAGGCAAACCAAAUUUUUGUAACAAAAUAUUAUAGUAUAGAUUGGCUAUAAAUUUUAGAGUUACCAGAAUCAUAAAAGUGACAGUAAAAUUGAUAUUAAUGUUUAUCUGAUUCAACAUAAAGAAUGUCUUACUGUCUUUAAGUAAGAAUAUGUUUCAACAUGGCAAAUAAGUUUCUUACCUUAACCAGGACCAGUAAAUAAAUUCUUUCUUCAUUUUUCGGGAUUCUGUGUACGUAAAAAUUCUGAGGGUAAUAACAGUGAUAGUACUGUAUUAAUAGAGAGAAAAAUGACAGUGCCAAAGUAAAUAUGUCAUCCUAGAUGUAGGGACAGUAGCUGAAAAUUGUCUCAAAACAACUAAAUUUUUUCUGUUGCUCCAACUGCAGAAAUAGUAAAAGCACAUUGCUAAGGGAACCUCUAUUAAUGAGAUUUGUAAGAAUGCUAAUAGGUAAAUCUAAAAUUAUCAAUGGUAACACAAAUUAACACAACUCCAACUCAUCACAAUUCAGGAUUAUAAAUAUUCAUAAAUGCUCAGUACUCUCAUAGGUGUAAGUAUUUCUGAGCAUAUUUAUAUAUUUAAUACUUCUAUCCCUAUGCAAAGAUAAAAUAAGUCAAAAUAUACGUCUGUCCUAUACCAUUUAAGGAGACAUUUCAUCAGAUUAGCAUGCAGAGAUUAAGUCUUGUCACUUAAAUUAUUCAUCAGCUUCCAAAUUUAUAUAUGUAAGUAAAGUAUGCUUAUACCCCAAAGUCAUAUAUAUGUUAUUAAAACUUAAUUUCACUUGCUGUAUACAACAUUAUGAUCUUCUUUGUUGCCUUUCUUUUUCCUGUACUUAAAGAUAUGAAAAUGAGAAAGGAGUUUAAUGUUAAAGGCAUUGGAAAUCAAAACAGUAUUAGAAAGACAAAGUAUUUAAUGGGUUCAUGUGGUUAUAAUGAUGUAUAUUAAUGUAAAUUGUAUGCUGAUAAUAUCAAUUCAUACAGUACUAUUUUCAUUAUAUGUUGUCGUGCUACCCAAAUUGAAAGUAAUCUAGUUUAUAAAUAUCAAUUGAAUAUCUGUGUUAUUAAAAUUGUCAUCACUGACCUAUGUUUAAACUUACUAUCUGCUCAAGCUAAAGUGAGUGUUCACUUAACAGCUGUUUCAGAGCACUAUAUCUGAUGACUUGGGAUCUUUUUUAAACAGCACAAACUGAAGGGCUAAUUUUAGUCCUGUUUUCUCUCUGGAAGAUCAUAUGUAUUGGGAAAAGAUGUGGGAAUUUUCAUUUUCAAAAGACUGUAGUCUCAGUCUAGUUCUGAUCUCACGCAAGUCAUUAAUAACUUCUAAAAAUAUUUUAAUGUUUUUCUUCCCUUGUCAAUUUCAGGCUUUCUCAGAAUUAGGUUCUUAUUUUGAAAUAGGGAUCUGGUUAAUAAUUUCACUGCAAAAGGUUUUUUCUUUUAUUUUCUUUUACUACUCUUUUCCAGAAAACCUAAUUUUUCUUCUGCCAUCUACUCUUGUACUUUGUGCACUCCUGAAUUUUUCCACUCUUGUCAAGGUCAGCGCUCAAAAUGUCUUCUCUCUGAACUCCUAAUUCUCCUAAACAUUGCAAAAGAUGGCAGUUUGGCUCUCAGGAUCAGCAACUUUGCUCUGAGACUGCUUAGCACAAUAAUGCAGUAGGAUGUACAUAAUUACUUCUUGAUAAUUUUGUUGAAGUGAGAGUAAGCAAUAUAUUCCACUCUAAAAUGACAAGGUUAUUAUGGGUGCUUUUUUUGUCUUCCUUGAGCUUUUUAGCCCAUAAAUAGUUUUAAAUUCUAGCUUCUCCUAAGCUCUACAGAAAAACUUGAUGCCUAAAUGGAGAUCUAAAGAUAUUGUGAGGACUGCCAGUCAAUGUGUGAUAUCCUCAGACCACCACCCAUGUACCUCACAUAUCUGCAGGAGUCUCAACAGCACAUAGAUGCACACAGAAACUAUUUCAAUAAUUUUCUUUGACUGUCUUUAUUUCUGCUAGGGUUCUUUAAGCACUGCACGCCAGCAGCACUGAAUCAGGAAAGAGCAAAGGGGAAACUAGUAAUGAGAUACAGCAAGAAAACCCACAAUCAGCACCAGCUGUUCCCCAAUUAAACUCAACAGUUCACAGGUGUUCUCAAGAGGAUACACAGUUUUGCCUAUGCCAAGAAUUUCCUGUUGUCACACUUCAGCAUGAGUGGAGAUCUUCCUAGGAAGCCUCAAGUACAAUGAGGUGGCAAAAUUCCUUUGGACUCCUGUGAAGGUCUCUCCACAUUGACAGAUCAGAACUGGAGACAGAUCAUCAUCGAUGAGCUGCAAAUGCGAGAUUUUAAAUUUGAAUCUGUCACAGUGAGAAGAUACUUAUCUAUGUGAGUCAAAUGAGGAAAAGUGCUCCUUAAGUCCACACAUUAUAGUGCUGGUGACUUAUAGAGAAAAUCUCAAAAGCCUGGUUAGCCAAAUCUCUCCACCCUGUUGAAAAUUAUAAACCUAAGUAAAGAGGAGACAAAACACUGUAGAGAACCAACCCCUCACUGUACUGAUGUAUUGAUGAUUAUUUAAGUCUUAUGCCAUAUAACUGUGCUUUUUAAAAUUGAAGAAUUUGACCUUCUGGUUAUGUUAUUGACAUGAAAUAUGGCUUAUUAAAAAAAAUAUUAAAAUAAGUAACUGGAGACACAGCUGCUGACUUUGCCAGAAAAAUGUUGUGCUAAUAUGUCCUUCCUGUCAGCCUCUGAAAAGAGCGGAGAAGGUGAAGGAAGGCUAAGAAGAAAGGGAAAAACAAGA